GAAAUGCGAUAAGUAAUGUGAAUUGCAGAAUUCAGUGAAUCAUCGAAUCUUUGAACGCAACUUGCGCUCCUUGGUAUUCCUUGGAGCAUGCCUGUUUGAGUAUCAUGAAAUCUUCAAAGUAAAUCUUUUGUUAACUCAAUUGGUUUCUACUUUGGUAUUGGAGGUCUUUGCAGCUUCACACCUGCUCCUCUUUGUUCAUUAGCUGGAUCUCAGUGUUAUGCUUGGUUCCACUCGGCGUGAUAAGUUAUCUAACGCUGAGGACACUGUAAAAGGUGGCCAAGGUAAAUGCAGAUGAACCGCUUCUAAUAGUCCAUUGACUUGGACAAUACUUUUAUGAUCUGAUCUCAAAUCAGGUAGGACUACCCGCUGAACUUAAGC
rnacentral:misc_RNA from 1 species